GAUGAACGCUGGCGGCGUGCCUAACACAUGCAAGUCGAGCGAUUUACUUCGGUAAAGAGCGGCGGACGGGUGAGUAACGCGUGGGUAACCUGCCCUGUACACACGGAUAACAUACCGAAAGGUAUGCUAAUACGAGAUAAUAUACUUUUAUCGCAUGGUAGAAGUAUCAAAGCUUUUGCGGUACAGGAUGGACCCGCGUCUGAUUAGCUAGUUGGUAAGGUAACGGCUUACCAAGGCGAAGAUCAGUAGCCGACCUGAGAGGGUGAUCGGCCACAUUGGAACUGAGACACGGUCCAAACUCCUACGGGAGGCAGCAGCGGGGAAUAUUGCACAAUGGGCGAAAGCCUGAUGCAGCAACGCCGCGUGAGCGAUGAAGGCCUUCGGGUCGUAAAGCUCUGUCCUCAAGGAAGAUAAUGACGGUACUUGAGGAGGAAGCCCCGGCUAACUACGUGCCAGCAGCCGCCGCAG
rnacentral:rRNA from 1 species